rnacentral:rRNA from 1 species
UACGGGGGGAGCAAGCGUUGUUCGGAAUUACUGGGCGUAAAGCGCACGUAGGCGGAUUGUUUAGUCAGGGGUGAAAUCCCGAGGCUCAACCUCGGAACUGCCUUUGAUACUGGCAAUCUCGAGUCCGGAAGAGGUGAGUGGAAUUCCUAGUGUAGAGGUGAAAUUCGUAGAUAUUAGGAAGAACACCAGUGGCGAAGGCGGCUCACUGGUCCGGUACUGACGCUGAGGUGCGAAAGCGUGGGGAGCAAACAGG